CCUACGGGAGGCAGCAGUGGGGAAUAUUGGGCAAUGGAAGAAACUCUGACCCAGCAACGCCGCGUGAAUGAUGAAGGUCUUCGGAUUGUACAGUUCUUUUCUAAGGGAAGAAGAAAGUGACGGUACCUUAGGAAUAAGCCUCGGCUAACUACGUGCCAGCAGCCGCGGUAAUACGUAGGAGGCAAGCGUUAUCCGGAAGGACUGGGCGUAAAGGGGGCGGAGGUGGUUUGACAAGUUGGUAGCGUAACUCCGGGGCUCAACCUCGGCACUACUACCAAAACUGUCGGACUUGAGUGCAGGAGGGGCAAAUGGAAUUCCUAGUGUAGCGGUGGAAUGCGUAGAUAUUAGGAGGAACACCAGUGGCGAAGGCGAUUUGCUGGACUGUAACUGACACUGAGGCACGAAAGCGUGGGGAGCAAACAGGAUUAGAUACCCCGGGAGUC
rnacentral:rRNA from 1 species